CAACGUCAACACCCGGAACUCUAUUGCAGCCAAUGAGCUCGAGUUGAAAAAGAAAAUAGCUUACAGCACGUGGUUUCACUCAGAUCCAUGCCAUCGCCAGGGAGACCUUUACCUGUGAUGUCUGCGGGAAGAGCUUGGCCACUAAACCAUCGCUGGUCAGCCAUCAACAGCUACACCAGUACCCCAACAUCAUUUUGUACCGGCAAGGAGAGGCCAGGCUGUACUGUACAGAGGCAGCAAGGUCUGUGGCAGAGGCCCGCAGCAGCACUGUUGUUGACCCUAAAUGGCUGGAUCUCAAGACAGCAGAGGCGGCUGCCAAGAGGUCGGGGGCUGAGCUGUGGAAAGGUCAGCUGGUCAUCACGUUUGGGUAGUACGCCGGUCAGACCUUCAGGUGGCUUGUGGAGAAUGAUGUCGGCUGGCUGGUGUGGCUGCUGUUCCAGUACUGCCAGCAGGGAGAGCAGAACGAGCUGCUGAAGUGGCAGAAGGAGCGACUGCUCCUUCGGCCACAAGGUGACUCCUCACCUGAAAGUGCUGUCGGACGCACCGUUCCCGGGGGCUCCUGCGCUGCCAACAUCCCUCCCUCCGCCAGACCGGCCUCAGGUCCAGUACCGGCUCAUCCAUCACGAGGCUGGAAAGAGACGUGGUGAGAAGCGGAGAUUAUUUGUUGAUGAGCCACAGCCUGUGACUCCCGCGAACCGACCCGUUCAGCCCACUGGGUUGUCGUCCUCCACCCGGCCGAAGCCUGCUGCGCUCACCCCCAUUCUGCCGAGGCCUUCUGCGCCCACCCACCUCCAGCCGAGGCCACCCGCUGCGUUGACCUACGGCCCACCCCCUGUGUCGGCAGCACCCAUACUGCAGGCCUUCCCCGCACAGCCACAGGUGCCCUCCGUCCUGUUUCGUGGGACAUCCUGCAGCCAGAGCUUUGUCCCUCCUGCACCAACAGUGAAGGCAUUCAUGCCUAACAAGUCCUCAAGGCCAUGUGGGGCUUGCCACAUGCCAAACUGUGGUGGACAGUGGAAGAGGUACAACCCUUUCAAGGACAAAGUGGCUGGAAGCAUUCAGAAAAUGUUUUCCUACUGUCCAUCCACUAGGAAGUCCACUACCCCUGGCUUCGACAAUGUGGUGUAUGACAACUUUGAACUCUUUAAGAGUGUCGUGGAUGCAGAGUUGGAAAGGAGGUGUGUGUGUGUGUGUGUGUGUGUGUGUGUGUGUGUGUGUGUGUGUGUGUGUGUGUGUGUGUGUGUGUGUGUGUGUGUGUGUGUGUGUGUGUGUGUGUGUGUGUGAAUAACUUACCUCUGUGAUGCCACUGUUCCUGUGCCAUCUGUACGAGAGAGAAAGAGGCUUGUUUGUGUGUGUUUGUCUCUGUCUUUGUGUGGGUUAUUAAAGUGCUUCAGCAAGCACUAUCUAUUUAUUUAUAUCGUUAAAAAAAAUGCAAAAAAACUUAUAAAAAACUUUGUAGUAU